UACGAAGGGGGCUAGCGUUCCUCGGAAUCACUGGGCGUAAAGGGUGCGUAGGCGGGUCUUUAAGUCAGGGGUGAAAUCCUGGAGCUCAACUCCAGAACUGCCUUUGAUACUGAAGAUCUUGAGUUCGGGAGAGGUGAGUGGAACUGCGAGUGUAGAGGUGAAAUUCGUAGAUAUUCGCAAGAACACCAGUGGCGAAGGCGGCUCACUGGCCCGAUACUGACGCUGAGGCACGAAAGCGUGGGGAGCAAACAGG
rnacentral:rRNA from 1 species